rnacentral:rRNA from 1 species
GAUGAACGCUAGCGGCAGGCUUAACACAUGCAAGUCGAGGGGUAACAGGGAAGCUUGCUUCCGCUGACGACCGGCGCACGGGUGCGUAACACGUAUGGAAUCUGCCCUUUACUGGAGAAUAGCCCGAAGAAAUUCGGAUUAAUGCUCCAUAAUAAACGAGAUGGCAUCAUCUUGUUUUGAAAGCUCCGGCGGUAAAGGAUGACCAUGCGCCCGAUUAGUUUGUUGGUGAGGUAACGGCUCACCAAGACUACGAUCGGUAGGGGGCCUGAGAGGGUUAUCCCCCACACUGGUACUGAGACACGGACCAGACUCCUACGGGAGGCAGCAGUGAGGAAUAUUGCGCAAUGGAGGCAACUCUGACGCAGCCAUGCCGCGUGCAGGAAGAAGGCGCUACGCGUUGUAAACUGCUUUUAAACGGGAGAAACCCCGGGACGUGUCCCGGGUUGACGGUACCGUUGGAAUAAGCACCGGCUAACUUCGUG